rnacentral:rRNA from 1 species
AUGAACGCUAGCGACAGGCCUAACACAUGCAAGUCGAGGGCAGCACAAGGAGCAAUCUGAGGUGGCGACCGGCGCACGGUGAGUAACACGUAUGCAACCUGCCUGUAAGCGGGGAAUAACCCGUUGAAAGACGGACUAAUACCGCAUAAUACUAAAUUACUGCAUGGUAAUUUAUUUAAACAUUUAUGGCUUACAGAUGGGCAUGCGCAUGAUUAGCUAGUUGGAGAGGUAACGGCUCCCCAAGGCAACGAUCAUUAGGGGUUCUGAGAGGAAGGUCCCCCACACUGGUACUGAGACACGGACCAGACUCCUACGGGAGCAGCAGUGAGGAAUAUUGGUCAAUGGACGAGAGUCUGAACCAGCCAAGUCGCGUGCAGGAAGAAUGUCCUUAAUGGAUUGUAAACUGCUUUUGCAGGGGAAUAAAGUGCAUCACGUGUGAUGUUUUGUAUGUACUCUGCGAAUAAGGAUCGGCUAACUCCGUGCCAGCAGCAGC